CCCCAUUAUGCCAAGACUGGAGCUUGUCAUAAAAAUCAUCAGUCAUUGAUGUCUGUGAGCUUCUGAGUUGGGCCUUGAGGGAAAAGAACUGUGAAAUUUGGGUUCAAUUUAGUUGUUUUGAUCUGGACUUCUUUAUGAGUAGGGAGAAUUAAAUUGGCCACAUGUGACCUUGUAUUUAGAGGAAAUCAAAUCACUCAAACAAGAUAAUUUAGCUCCUUGCUCAACAAUUCCUCCUUUUCUCUUCAACUCCAGGGUUAUUGAUUGAGGUCCUGCCUGAAUACAUUUUACUAGAGUUUAGAGAAUUGUAAUAGUUGCAUUGUUUCUCUGGUUACAACCUCAAAAUGCACUGCAGAUUUCUUCAACUGAAAUUGCUCCAAUGUUAAUAUGUUGUGGGAAUGAAAGACUGAUUUCAGCACUUAAGCUACACCACCAGAGGAAACAGCAGUGAGGAGAAACCAAGCGCGAUCAUGGGACAAGAGGUCUUUUCUUCCUGUCUUCAUCUGCUGAUCUGCUCACCUGAUAUUCACUGAGCACCAAGUUUAUGCCAGGCUGAAGUCCUGGCUGGAAUGCUUCUUGUAUCAUAUCAUUGGAGAUUGGAAGAAUUGAGAUGUUUCUUGCUGUGGUUGUCCAACCCAGCUCUAGUUUGUCAGCCAGUAUUCUGCAUGCACAAAAGUAGUGUUUAAUCUAAGAAGACUCGAGGCAAGAGAGGUCUCACUCUGUCACCCAGGCUGGAGUUCAGUUGUGCAAUCAUGGCUCACUGCAUCAUCAAUCUCCUGGGUCUAAGUGAUCCUCCUCACUUCAGCCUCCGGAGUACCUGGGACCAUAGUGUCAGCUUAAUUUUGUGUAAAUAGUCUGGAAACAUGAUUUUCAUCACAGCAAGCAAAACUUGUAUAGACAUGUUUGUAAGAGGAUAUUUAUACACCACCCCAGGAUGCUCUUUCUCAACUGACAUCACCUGCAUUUAGUCCAUUUCAGUUCUUCCAUGGCUUUAUGUUUUCAAAUCAACCUGCCUGGACUCAAAAGCAGACAAAACCCAGAAGUAAACAGCAGAUAGAGAUGGAAAAAGCUCCAGAAGAAUUUCUCUCCUACAGAUUUAAGAGGAGAAAAUGAGACUCCUAAGUGUCAUAAAGAAUGUGUGUAGGUGGGAUAUCCUCUUUUUUUCUUCUGUUCUUUCCCAUCCAGCCCCAAGACAAUAAUAUGAUGGCAUGGUAGAGGUGAAGAUAAUGGGAGC
rnacentral:lncRNA from 1 species